GUGCCAGCAGCCGCGGUAAUACCGGCAGCCCAAGUGAUGGCCGAUCUUAUUGGGCCUAAAGCGUCCGUAGCUGGCUGCGCAAGUCCGUCGGGAAAUCCACUCGCUCAACGAGUGGGCGUCCGACGGAAACUGCACAGCUUGGGACCGGAAGGCUCGAAGGGUACGUUCGGGGUAGGAGUGAAAUCCCAUAAUCCCGCACGGACCACCGAUGGCGAAAGCACCUCGAGAAGACGGAUCCGACAGUGAGGGACGAAAGCCAGGGUCUCCAUCCGGAUUAGAAACCCUAGUAGUCC
rnacentral:rRNA from 1 species